CCGCACCCCCACUACCACCACUAGCAGCACCACCGCCGCCGAGCCCAGCACCCGCUCAGAUUUCUGUUCACGGCGGCGCCCAGUCGCCCACCCAAUCCCGGCACCCAGUCGCCGCUCCCUCCCCCAGACGCAAUCCCAAUCCCGGCGGCCAGCUCGGAUUUCUGUUCCUGGCGGCGCCGCACUACCCUGCCGUCGGCGGGCUUCCCGUCGGCGAACCUCGGGCCGUCCCCACGAAGGGCUGCGCGGCCGGCCCCCGUCACGCCCCGGCGAGCUGCAACCUCAGGAGAAGCUAGCCCAAUUGCGCCGCUGUACAGCCGAGAAAAACUGGUGCGUGACCACGGUGACCGCUGCGGUGACGGAGUUGUUGGCGGGCGGGGACGGCGGCGUGACCUCGGCGGACGCCGAGUCCUUAUGAUCCCGCAUGGAUGGCUAGGUGCUGGUCUCCGUGUGGGCAGCCUCUCCUUGACUAGCUCUUGGCACGAUGGCGGUAGGUUCGUACCCCAUUUUUCCUGCGGAAGCCUUGAUUUUCCUUGCCAGUUCCCCUUCGGAUCACGGUCGACUGCAACGGAAUCGCAUUUACGGCGUUCUUUCUCAGUGGGGCGUGGUUCCAAUUCCUCCCGUUAUCCAUGGAUUUCUUAGGAUUCAUGAGCUCUCAACACCCCCCCCCCCCAACCGCAAGGUGCCCUCUUUUUUUCUCCCGCAUUUCUGUUGAUUUUGAUUGAUUUACUGCGUUGGUAGGAGGAUCUAUGCAGGUAGUCGAGCAUUAUUGGCCAUCCAUUGUUGCAAUCUCAUAGUCGCCACUUAGGAUUUCUUCUAGUCGGCUGCACCCACAUGGGAUUUAUGCUGUCUCUGCAGGGAUGACGAGAAUGAUUCAGUUGCCGACGCCUAUCCGCAACCAACGAGUUGCAGGAGACUAGCAGGCGCUCGACAAUGUGUUGUGAAGUCCCAGAACUGUCCGCCUCCAAGGCUCCAACAUGAACGCAGUGUGCAGAGCACCUCUGUCGAGAUUUUGGGAGCAGUACGUCUUCUUGCAAACUUCCAGGCGCUGAGAUUGCAAUAUGCAUGCUGGUAAUCUGCACGUGAGAUGGUUGAUUGGCUAGAUAGUUUCUGAUUUCCUUUUUGUUUAUUGUUCUGCCAAAUUGUAAAAACAGGGUCAAUGAAAUAGCAAAAUGCAUUGAGUUUUUAUGAACUCUUAUUGUGUGCUCGGUUUAAAUAUGGUGAAUGGAAUUGCAAAAUGUACUCAGUUUUAGAUUGAAAUUGAGAUCAAUCAAUCACAAAA